GGAGGACAGGACAGCAGAGACACUGCCUGCCAAGAGGCAGUGGGUGGGAGCCAUUUUUAAAGGGGGAAGAUGGGGAGGUAUAGUGAGGAGGAAGAAAAAGUAACAAACACCUGAGCACACAGAUGUUCAGCACAACGUCAGAAAUGCUGAGAGGGAGCAUAAAGCCAGCUCGUCAUGAUCUCAAGUUUGUAACAUCGAGCCCCACGUCAGGCUCCAUGAUGGGUGCGGAGUCUCCUUAAGACUCACUCUGCCCAUCCCCCUCUGCUCUC